ACCAAGAACCAUGCCACCCUGAACAAGCCCGAUCCCAUCUGAUCUUGGAAGCUAAGCAGGGAUGGUCCUGGUUAGUACUUGGAUGGGAGACCACCUAGGAAGACCAGGUGCUGUAGGCA
rnacentral:rRNA from 1 species